GAGGAUUAUCUGUGUUAAGCAAGCGGAAUUUGUUGGACGGGCAUAAAACAGAAUCUGUGGACUUUUGUGAACAUUGUGCGUUAGGCAAACAGACCAGGGUGAAGUUUGAUAAAAAAGGUAGUGCGCAAGACCAGAAGAACGAUGGAUUAUAUCCACUCAGAUUUAUGGGGUCCUAACAGAAUUCCUUCCAAGAGCGGUGCUAGGUACUU
rnacentral:misc_RNA from 1 species